AGAGCUCGAUCCUGGAUCAGGAUGAAUGCUGGAGGCAUUCUUAACACAUGCAAGUCGAACGGAAAACGCGGGAAAUGGUGUUUCCAAUGGAGAACGGGUAAGUAAUGCGUAAGAACCUUUCCUUGGGAGGGGAACAACAGCUAGAAACAGCUGCUAAUACCACAUAGGCUGAGGAGAAAAAGGAGAAAUCCGCUUGAAGCGGGGCUCACAUAUGAUUAACUAGUUGGUAAGGCAAUAACUUACCAAGGCAAUGAUCAGUAGCUAGUUCGAGAUUAUGAUCAGCUACACUGGGACUAAGACACGACCUAGACUCCUGCAGAAGGAAGCAGUGGGGAAUUUUUUGCAAUGGGCAAAAGCUUGAUAGAGCAAUGACGCUUGGAGGUAGAAGACCCCUGGGUUGUGAACUUUUUUUCCCGAGAAUAAGUAAUGACGGUAUCUGGGGAAUAAGCAUCGUCUAACUCUAUGCCAGCAGCCACAGUAUUACAGAGGAUGCAAGCAUUUUCUGAAAUGAUUGGGCAUAAAGCGUCUGUAGGUGCCCUUUUAAGUCUGUCGCAAAAUACCAAGGCUUAACCCUGAACAGGCGAUGAAAAUUACCAAUUUGGAGUAUGUUAGGGGCAGAGGGAAUUUCUAGUAGAGCGGUGAAAUGCGUAGAGAUCGAAAACAACACCAAUAGGAAAAGCACUCUGCUGGGCCGACACUGACACUGAGAGACAAAAGAUAGGGGAGAGAAUGGGAUUAGAUACCUUAGUAGUCCUAGGCAUAAAGGAUAUAUACUAGGUUCUAUGCUUAUCGACCUAUGCAGUGCUGUAGCUAAUGCGUUGAGUAUCUUUCUUAGGGAGUACGUUCUCAAGAAUAAAACUCCAAAGAAUUGAUAGGGGCCCGCACAAGAGGUUGAGCAUGUGGUUUAAUUUGAUGCAAAGCUAAGAAUCUUACCAGGUCUUGACAUGCUGCGAAUCCUCUUAAAAGAGAGAGGUGCUUUCAGGAAUAUAAACACAUGUGGUGCAUUAUUGUCGUCAGCUCGUGCUGUAAGGUGUUGGGUUAAGUCCCAAAACGAGUGCAACCCUCCUGUUUAGUUUCCAUCAUUGAGUUUGGAACCCUGAAUAGACUGCCAGUGAUAAGAUGAAGGAAGGUGAGGAGGAUGUCAAGUCAUUAUGCCCCUUAUGCACUAGGAGACACAGGUUCUACAAUGGCCAGGGCAAAGGUUCGCAAUCCCACAAGGGUGACCUAACCCCAAAAACCCAUCCUUAGUUUGGAUUGUAAGCUGCAGCUCGCCUGUAUGAAGCUGGAAUCGGUAGUAGUUGUCAGUCAGCCUUACGGCGGCGAAUUCAUUCCCGAGCUUUUUACACACCGCCCGUCAUACUAUGGGAGUUGGCCAUGCCUGAAGUAGUUAUAACAAGUUAGCCAUACUCGAAGGUUUGGCUGGACCACCUCCU
rnacentral:rRNA from 1 species